rnacentral:rRNA from 1 species
GAUGAACGCUGGCGGCGUGCCUAAUACAUGCAAGUCGAGCGAACAGACGAGGAGCUUGCUCCUCUGACGUUAGCGGCGGACGGGUGAGUAACACGUGGAUAACCUACCUAUAAGACUGGGAUAACUUCGGGAAACCGGAGCUAAUACCGGAUAAUAUAUUGAACCGCAUGGUUCAUUAGUGAAAGACGGUUUUGCUGUCACUUAUAGAUGGAUCCGCGCCGCAUUAGCUAGUUGGUAAGGUAACGGCUUACCAAGGCAACGAUGCGUAGCCGACCUGAGAGGGUGAUCGGCCACACUGGAACUGAGACACGGUCCAGACUCCUACGGGAGGCAGCAGUAGGGAAUCUUCCGCAAAGGGCGAAAGCCUGACGGAGCAACGCCGCGUGAGUGAUGAAGGUCUUCGGAUCGUAAAACUCUGUUAUUAGGGAAGAACAAAUGUGUAAGUAACUAUGCACGUCUUGACGGUACCUAAUCAGAAAGCCACGGCUAACUACGUG